GAGUUUGAUCGUGGCUCAGGACGAACGCUGGCGGCGUGCUUAACACAUGCAAGUCGAACGAGGUGCUUGCACCUAGUGGCGAACGGGUGAGUAACACGUGAGCAACCUGCCCCUGGCUCUGGGAUAGCCUCCGGAAACGGGGAUUAAUACCGGACAUUCACUUUCUUCCGCAUGGUGGAGGGUGGAAAGUUUUUCGGCCAGGGAGGGGCUCGCGGCCUAUCAGCUUGUUGGGGGGGUAACGGCCCGACCCAAGGCGGACGACGGGUAGGCCGGCCGUGAGAGGGCGGACCGGCCGACACUGGGACGUGA
rnacentral:rRNA from 1 species